UGGGGAAUAUUGGACAAUGGGGGGAACCCUGAUCCAGCGACGCCGCGUGAGUGAAGAAGUAUUUCGGUAUGUAAAGCUCUAUCAGCAGGGAAGAAAGAAAUGACGGUACCUGACUAAGAAGCCCCGGCUAACUACGUGCCAGCAGCCGCGGUAAUACGUAGGGGGCAAGCGUUAUCCGGAUUUACUGGGUGUAAAGGGAGCGUAGACGGUAGUGCAAGUCUGGAGUGAAAGGCGGGGGCCCAACCCCCGGACUGCUCUGGAAACUGUGCGACUAGAGUGCAGGAGAGGUAAGUGGAAUUCCUAGUGUAGCGGUGAAAUGCGUAGAUAUUAGGAGGAACACCAGUGGCGAAGGCGGCUUACUGGACUGUAACUGACGUUGAGGCUCGAAAGCGUGGGGAGC
rnacentral:rRNA from 1 species